rnacentral:rRNA from 1 species
GACGAACGCUGGCGGCGUGCCUAAUACAUGCAAGUAGACCUGAGUUGCGAACGGGUGAGUAACGGGUAGGAACCUGCCGCAUAGCGGGGGAUAACUAUUGGAAAGGAUAGCCAGUACCGCAUACUGAGAGAUGGACCUGCGUUGUAUUAGCUAGUUGGUGAGGUAAAGGCUAACCAAGGCGACGAUACAUAGCCGACCCGAGAGGGUGAUCGGCCACACUGGAACUGAGACACGGUCCAGACUCCUACGGGAGGCAGCAGUGGGGAAUAUUGGACAAUGGGCGAAAGCCUGAUCCAGCCAUGCCGCGUGUGUGAAGAAGGUCUUCGGAUUGUAAAGCACUUUAAGUUGGGAGGCGUUACCAACAGAAUAAGCACCGGCUAACUUCGUGCCAGCAGCCGCGGUAAUAC